UUUCGCGUCUUUCUUAUGCCCCAUAAUGGCAUUACCAACGGCAUGCAACAGAUGGGUUUUACCCAAGCCGGUACCGCCGUA
rnacentral:antisense_RNA from 1 species